AAUGAACGCUGGCGGCAUGCCUAACACAUGCAAGUCGAACGAAGGCUUCGGCCUUAGUGGCGCACGGGUGCGUAACGCGUGGGAAUCUGCCCUCAGGUUCGGAAUAACAGCGAGAAAUUGCUGCUAAUACCGGAUGAUAUCGCGAGAUCAAAGAUUUAUCGCCUGAGGAUGAGCCCGCGUAGGAUUAGCUAGUUGGUGUGGUAAAGGCGCACCAAGGCGACGAUCCUUAGCUGCUCUGAGAGGAUGAUAAGCCACACUGGGACUGAGACACGGCCCCGAGUCAUACGGGAGGCAGCAGUGGGGAAUAUUGGACAAGGGGCGGAAGCCUGAUCCAGCAAUGCCGCGUGAGUGAUGAAGGCCUUAGGGUUGUAAAGCUCUUUUACCCGGGAUGAUAAUGACAGUACCGGGAGAAGAAGCUCCGGCUAACUCCGUGCCAGCCGCCGCCGUAA
rnacentral:rRNA from 1 species